rnacentral:rRNA from 1 species
UACAGAGGUCUCAAGCGUUGUUCGGAUUCAUUGGGCGUAAAGGGUGCGUAGGUGGCGCCGUAAGUGGGGUGUGAAAUCUCGGGGCUUAACUCCGAAACUGCAUUCCAUACUGCGGUGCUUGAGGACUGGAGAGGAGACUGGAAUUUACGGUGUAGCGGUGAAAUGCGUAGAUAUCGUAAGGAAGACCAGUGGCGAAGGCGGGUCUCUGGACAGUUCCUGACGCUGAGGCACGAAGGCCAGGGGAGCAAACGGG